rnacentral:rRNA from 1 species
ACGCUCGACACCUACGAGAGGCAGCAGUGGGGGAUAUUGCACAAUGGGGGAAACCCUGAUGCAGCGACGCCGCGUGGAGGAAGAAGGUUUUCGGAUUGUAAACUCCUGUCGUUAGGGACGAAUUCUGACGGUACCUAACAAGAAAGCACCGGCUAACUACGUGCCAGCACGCCGGACGGUUAAUCUGGACGGCCGGGCGUGGACGAAGGC